rnacentral:rRNA from 1 species
GAUGAACGCUGGCGGCAGGCCUAACACAUGCAAGUCGAACGCCGUAGCAAUACGGAGUGGCAGACGGGUGAGUAACACGUGGGAACGUACCCUUCGGUUCGGAAUAACUCAGGGAAACUUGAGCUAAUACCGGAUACGUCCGAGAGGAGAAAGAUUUAUCGCCGAGGGAUCGGCCCGCGUCUGAUUAGCUUGUUGGUGAGGUAACGGCUCACCAAGGCGACGAUCAGUAGCUGGCUGAGGAGGA